rnacentral:tRNA from 1 species
AAGGCCUUAACUUAAUUAAAGUGUUUGUUUUGCACAUAAAUGAUGUGGGUUAAUGUCCUGCAGGUCUUA